rnacentral:rRNA from 1 species
GAUGAACGCUGGCGGCGUGCCUAAUACAUGCAAGUCGAGCGAACGGACGAGAAGCUUGCUUUUCUGAUGUUAGCGGCGGACGGGUGAGUAACACGUGGAUAACCUACCUAUAAGACUGGGAUAACUUCGGGAAACCGGAGCUAAUACCGGAUAAUAUUUUGAACCGCAUGGUUCAAAAGUGAAAGACGGUCUUGCUGUCACUUAUAGAUGGAUCCGCGCUGCAUUAGCUAGUUGGUAAGGUAACGGCUUACCAAGGCAACGAUGCAUAGCCGACCUGAGAGGGUGAUCGGCCACACUGGAACUGAGACACGGUCCAGACUCCUACGGGAGGCAGCAGUAGGGAAUCUUCCGCAAUGGGCGAAAGCCUGACGGAGCAACGCCGCGUGAGUGAUGAAGGUCUUCGGAUCGUAAAACUCUGUUAUUAGGGAAGAACAUAUGUGUAAGUAACUGUGCACAUCUUGACGGUACCUAAUCAGAAAGCCACGGCUAACUACGUGCCAGCAGCCGCGGUAAUACGUAGGUGGCAAGCGUUAUCCGGAAUUAUUGGGCGUAAAGCGCGCGUAGGCGGUUUUUUAGUCUGAUGUGAAAGCCCACGGCUCAACCGUGGAGGGUCAUUGGAAACUGGAAAACUUGAGUGCAGAAGAGGAAAGUGGAAUUCCAUGUGUAGCGGUGAAAUGCGCAGAGAUAUGGAGGAACACCAGUGGCGAAGGCGACUUUCUGGUCUGUAACUGACGCUGAUGUGCGAAAGCGUGGGGAUCAAACAGGAUUAGAUACCCUGGUAGUCCACGCCGUAAACGAUGAGUGCUAAGUGUUAGGGGGUUUCCGCCCCUUAGUGCUGCAGCUAACGCAUUAAGCACUCCGCCUGGGGAGUACGACCGCAAGGUUGAAACUCAAAGGAAUUGACGGGGACCCGCACAAGCGGUGGAGCAUGUGGUUUAAUUCGAAGCAACGCGAAGAACCUUAUCAAAUCUUGACAUCCUCUGACAACUCUAGAGAUAGAGCCUUCCCCUUCGGGGGACAAAGUGACAGGUGGUGCAUGGUUGUCGUCAGCUCGUGUCGUGAGAUGUUGGGUUAAGUCCCGCAACGAGCGCAACCCUUAAGCUUAGUUGCCAUCAUUAAGUUGGGCACUCUAAGUUGACUGCCGGUGACAAACCGGAGGAAGGUGGGGAUGACGUCAAAUCAUCAUGCCCCUUAUGAUUUGGGCUACACACGUGCUACAAUGGACAAUACAAAGGGCAGCGAAACCGCGAGGUCAAGCAAAUCCCAUAAAGUUGUUCUCAGUUCGGAUUGUAGUCUGCAACUCGACUACAUGAAGCUGGAAUCGCUAGUAAUCGUAGAUCAGCAUGCUACGGUGAAUACGUUCCCGGGUCU